rnacentral:rRNA from 1 species
GAUGAACGCUGGCGGCGUGCCUAAUACAUGCGAGUCGAGCGAACGGACGAGAAGCUUGCUUCUCUGAUGUUAGCGGCGGACGGGUGAGUAACACGUGGAUAACCUACCUAUAAGACUGGGAUAACUUCGGGAAACCGGAGCUAAUACCGGAUAAUAUUUUGAACCGCAUGGUUCAAAAGUGAAAGACGGUCUUGCUGUCACUUAUAGAUGGAUCCGCGCUGCAUUAGCUAGUUGGUAAGGUAACGGCUUACCAAGGCAACGAUGCAUAGCCGACCUGAGAGGGUGAUCGGCCACACUGGAACUGAGACACGGUCCAGACUCCUACGGGAGGCAGCAGUAGGGAGCCUUCCGCAAUGGGCGAAAGCCUGACGGAGCAACGCCGCGUGAGUGAUGAAGGUCUUCGGAUCGUAAAACUCUGUUAUUAGGGAAGAACAUAUGUGUAAGUAACUGUGCACAUCUUGACGGUACCUAAUCAGAAAGCCACGGCUAACUACGUG